rnacentral:rRNA from 1 species
CCUACGGGAGGCAGCAGUGGGGAAUAUUGCUCAAUGGGGGCAACCCUGAUCCAGCAACGCCGCGUGAAGGAAGACGGCUCUCGGAUUUUUAACCUUCGUUUUUACUGUAGUAAAAUGAGGGUAGUUUAGCUGUUUGCCAGUGCUAACUACGUGACAGUAGCCGAGGUAAUUCGCAGCUGGCACGCGUUUACCGGAAUUACUGGGUGUAACGGGAGCGCAGGCGGGUAGCCAAGUCAGCUGUGAAAGGUAGGGGCUUAACUUGUAAACUGCAGUUGAAACUGGUUGUCUUGAGUGAAGUUGAGGUAGGCGGAAUUCCGGGUGUAGCGGUGAAAUGCGUAGAUAUACGGAAGAACACCGAUGGCGAAGGCAGCCAACUAAGCUUUAACUGACGCUGAGGCUCGAAAGUGUGGGGAGCAAACAGGAUUAGAUACCCCUGUAGUC